UUUCCGUAGGUGAACCUGCGGAAGGAUCAUAAUUGGAUUUUGAAACUUCAGGCUGCUGCUGGCUCUCCUCGGAGGGCAUGUGCACGCUUGUUGUUCAUUAUUUCUCCCACUGUGCACAAAUUGUAGACCUUUCAGUAGGCCUAUGUUGUUUUUCACAAUCUCUGAAUGUAAUAGAAUGGUUUUGAAUCUUGGGAAAUACAAUACAACUUUCAGCAACGGAUCUCUUGGCUCUC
rnacentral:misc_RNA from 1 species